UCUUCCUAAAUCGCUGUUAAUAUAAACAGAAUAAUAAUAGUUUUUGUUAUGUGAUUGAUAUUUCAGGGAACUCCAUCAAAGGAAGUUGAUUCUGUUAAAGAAAGUUCAAAGCCUGAACGACCAUCUGUGUUGGCCAAGAGAAGUACACAUGCUGCUUCUUUAAAACAUAGUAAAGCAGCUUCUAGUGUUGAUGCUGAAAUUGUGGGUGGAUCCACAAUAAGUUCUCAGGCUAGCUGAAGCAGGAGGUUUCUACUGCUUCAUCAAAAGGCACUACUAUUAAAAUAGGUGAUCGAGUAAAAUUUGUUGGUAACUUCCCUUCUGCUGUCUCAUCAAUACAAAAUCAUCCUUCAAGGUACUUUGUCUGAUGGAAGAAUUAUUCUGAAUACAAUUCAGUCAAUC